AAAAGUACAGGGACCAAAAGAGAAAAUAAGCCAACCCUAGUGCACGUGUCACUCCCCAAAAGGUCGAUAGUCUGAAGACUAAAGAGGAAACAAAUUAAAAUUGAAUGGAAAAAUUAAAAAGAAAAGAAAAAAAAAGGUCGAUAGUCUGAAGACUAAAGAAGAAACAAAUUAAAAUUAAAUGGCACAAUUAAAAAGAAAAGAAAAAAAAUUCAAAGUUUGGACCAUAAUAAAUAGUGCCUAAAAGCGGAAAGAUUUGGGCAGCAAUUAGACCC
rnacentral:lncRNA from 1 species